GCCAGCGUGGCAUCAUGGUUUGAGUGUUGGACUGUCACUCUGGAGAUCUGGGGUUUGAUUCCCAGCUUGGCC